UAAAAAGAUAUUUAAUAUUUUUUUUUGUUUAAUUUUAUAGAUUUUAAAUUAAUAAAAAUAUUUUUUUUUGUUUUAGUAUUUAAAAAUGAAAAAAUAAAAAUUAGAUUUAUAGUAUAAAGUAUUGAAAAAGAAAAUUGAAAUAAUUUGAAAAAUAUUUUAAAAAAAAGAAAAAUUAAUUUUUUGUUCCUUGUGUAUCAGGAUUAAUUAAAUAUAAAAUUUUUAAUUAAAAAUAAUUUAUAAUUUAAAAGAUUUAUAAAUUUUUGAUUUUUAUUAUUUAAAAAAUAUAAGUUAAAAAUUUAUUGAAAUGAGAUGUUAAUCGUUUUUAAAGUUAUAUAAUUUUUAAAGAAAUAAAUUUAAUUUAAAAAUAAUUUUAUAUUAUAAAAAUAAUUUAUAAUUUUUAUAAUUAAAUUAUUUUAAUAUUUUAAGGGUUGAGCUUUAAAAUAUAUUUUUAUAAAUAAAAAAUAAUAUUAUAAUAAAAAAUAAUCUUAAAAAUAGAUAAUUAUAAUUAAUUUGUUUUAAUUAAUUUUAUAAAUAUUUAAUAUUUAUUAUUUUUUAUAUUUUAAAUAUUUUAUUUAAAUAAUUAUUUUAAUAAUAAAAAUAAUUAAAUAAUAAUUAAAUUAGUAAUUUUAUUGUUUAUAAAAUUUUUUAUGUUCUGUAAUUUUAAAAUUAUGAACUAGGCAAUAUUAUUUUUAACUGUUUAACAAAAACAUUGUUUUUUAAAAUUUUUAAAAAAUAAGGCCUGCACACUGAAAAAUUUAAAGAGCCGCGGUAUUUUGACCGUGCAAAGGUAGCAUAAUCAUUAGUUUUUUAAUUGAAGACUGGAAUGAAAGGUUUAAUAAAAAAUAAUCUUUAUUAUUUUAAUAAUAAAUGAACUUGUUUUUUCAGUAAAAAUUCUGAAAUAAAAAUAAAAGACGAUAAGACCCUAUAAAGCUUUAUAAUAAUUUAUUAUAUAAUUUUUUUAGUAUAUUGAAAAUUUUAUAAUUUAUUUAUUUAAUUGGGGUGAUUUAAAGAUUUAAUAAACUCUUUAUAUAGUUUUUUAAUAAUAGUUAAUAAAAAGAUCCUGAUUUUUUGGAUUUAAAAAUUAAGUUACUUUAGGGAUAACAGCGUAAUUUUUUUGGAGAGUUCAAAUCGAUAAAAGAGUUUGCGACCUCGAUGUUGGAUUAAGAUAUAAUUUUAGGUGUAGAAGUUUAAAUUUUUAGUCUGUUCGACUAUUUAUUCUUACAUGAUCUGAGUUCAAACCGGUUUAAGCCAGGUUGGUUUCUAUCUUUAUUUAUAUAUUUAUAUUUUAGUACGAAAGGACCAAAUAUAAAAAUUUUAUUUUUUUAUUAAUGAAUAAAAUUAAUUUUAUUAAAAAGUUAAUCAUAAAAAA
rnacentral:rRNA from 1 species